UACGUAGGCAGCGAGCGUUGUUCGGAGUUACUGGGCGUAAAGCGUGCGCAGGCGGUUUUGUAAGUCUGUCGUGAAAUCCCCGGGCUCAACCUGGGAACUGCAUUUGUGACUGCAUGGCUAGAGUGUGUCAGAGGGGGGUAGAAUUCCACGUGUAGCAGUGAAAUGCGUAGAUAUGUGGAGGAAUACCGAUGGCGAAGGCAGCCCCCUGGGAUAACACUGACGCUCAUGCACGAAAGCGUGGGGAGCAAACAGG
rnacentral:rRNA from 1 species